GACGAACGCUGGCGGCGUGCUUAACACAUGCAAGUCGAACGGAAAGGCCCUGCUUGCCGGGUACUCGAGUGGCGAACGGGUGAGUAACACGUGGGUGAUCUGCCCUGCACUUCGGGAUAAGCCUGGGAAACUGGGUCUAAUACCGGAUAGGAGCCAUUUUUAGUGUGAUGGUUGGAAAGUUUUUUCGGUGUAGGAUGAGCUCGCGGCCUAUCAGCUUGUUGGUGGGAUAAUGGCCUACCAAGGCGGCGACGGGUAGCCGGCCUGAGAGGGUGGACGGCCACAUUGGGACUGAGAUACGGCCCAGACUCCUACGGGAGGCAGCAGUGGGGAAUAUUGCACAAUGGGCGCAAGCCUGAUGCAGCGACGCCGCGUGGGGGAUGACGGCCUUCGGGUUGUAAACUCCUUUCGCUAGGGACGAAGCUUUUUGUGACGGUACCUAGAUAAGAAGCACCGGCUAACUACGUG
rnacentral:rRNA from 1 species